GGAGAGGCUCUGAUAGACCAGAAGCAGGCAGAGGUUUAGAGGCAGCAGAACCAUGGUGAGUGAGUUCUUGUGAGAUCCGGUUGUUUAAAAGUGUGUGGCACCUCCCCUUGUUCUCUUGCUCCUGCUCUCACCACGUGAUACAUCAGCUCCCCCUUCACCUUCUGCCAUGAUUGUAAGCUUCCUGAGGUCAUCCAAAAGCUGAGCAGAUGCCAACCAUGCUUCCUGAGGCCAAGGUGGUAGGAUCACUUGAAGUUGGGAGUUCAAGACCAGCCUGACCAACAUGGUGAAACCUCGCCUCCACUGAAAAUACAAAAAUUAGCUGGGCAUGGUGGCAGGCACCUGUAAUCCUAGCUACUCGCUAAGACUGAGGCAGGAGAAUCGCUUGAACCCAGGAGACGGAAGUUGCAGUGAGCCGAGAUCAUGCCACUGCACUCCAGCCUGGGCAACAGGGCGAGACUCCACCUCAAAAAAAAAAAAAAUGUGUAAUUAACUGUUCCCCAUGUCAAU
rnacentral:lncRNA from 1 species